CCAAUACAAAUUUUAAUGGCCCAUUUUCCUAUUUUAUCCCAAAAAACUUAAAAAAAAUAUAUAUAAAAAUUUAAAAACAUAUUUAGUAUCGUCACGUGCAUUAAUGUCCGAACUUUGUCACAUUUUAUUUCCCAAAAAUUUUUCAAGCGAUUGAAAACUUAAAGAAAAAGUGUUACCGAUAAAAACUACAGAUAACAGCGCAAAAAAUGAGCCCUCAUACCGCCCCGUAAUGAGAAAGUUAUAGGUGGUCGAAAUAGGGCAAUUUUAAACAUACAAAUUUUGUUAAGAAAGUUAGAAUUUUUUUUUUUUUUUAAAGGUCUACAAUAGAAGAGCAUGUAAUCAUGGGUAUCAUUUUAAUCGUAUUUAACCAGAAUUAAGAAAACAUGUCAUUUUUACCGUAAAGUGUACAGCAUGAAAAACAAAAUCUUCCAAUUUCCCCACAUUAAAAAUGUCUUUGGUUGCGCCAUACAUUUUAUGGUAAAAUGGGUGAUGACACUACAAAGUACAAUUGGUCACACUAAAAAACAAGCCCUCAUAUGUGAAUAGAAACGCGAGGAGGAAAAAACGACACACGCAAAAAUAAAAGUGGCCUGGUCCUUAAGGGGUUAAUGGGGGCACGAGCAAUGAGGGCAUCGUCUGUUGCACUCUGGCAAUAUACAUCAGGCACUGAUAACAGGGGCAUUCUGUGACACGUACGAUGAAUAGGCGUCCUGUCAGGCGGGCACUCUGGUUUGUAGUCCUUUGACUACAGCAGCACUGUCUCCCUGAGUUUCUACUCACGCAGUUACUGAACGACCACUUCCGGGUGUUUUGCAAUCGCUUAGUUUUGACCUCCGCGGCUACCGUCCUCUCCAGUCUGUCAUGGUAACCUCCAGCGGCGGCAUGGCGUCCUCAGAUUCUCUGUACUAUGCAGAGUAUAGGAACGGGAACACGGCUGCUCCGGCGGCUGGCAUCGACCGGAGGCUGGGUGGAACAAUGAUUGCAGUGGGACUUGGAGUUGCAGCAGCAGCUUUUGCAGGUCGCUUCGCUUUCCAGCUGUGGAAGCCUUUGGGUCAAGUUAUUGUGGAAAACGCCAAAAAAAUCUCUACUCCAAGCCUUUCUUAUUAUUACAAAGGAGGAUUCGAGCAGAAAAUGAGUAGGCGAGAAGCGAGUCUUGUUUUAGGUGUCAGUCCAUCUGCUAGCAAAUCCAAGAUCCGGAUGGCACAUCGGAAAAUCAUGAUUUUAAAUCAUCCAGAUAAAGGUGUUCACUCACAAUAAUUGGGCCAUGUAACGGCAACUUUUAGCGAAGACCAUUCGACUUGUUCAUAGCUGAUCAGCGCUCAUGUCUGGAAGCUGGUUGACUGUCUUAAAGCAUCCUUAUUUUCUUAUUAAAUAGUCUUCCGUAUGGCGGAUCACCUUAUAUAGCAAUGAAAAUAAAUGAAGCAAAGGACUUACUGGAGUCUAGUGCAAAACAAUGACAUAAGAGAGAUGAAUAAUUAAUUUGUAUUAAGCUCUUUGCUGCCAGGAAAGAGAGUGCGCCUGCCUGUGCCUGCAUACCUGUUAGCAAAGAGUCAUUUUCUAAAUAUGUUAUUUAUACAGUUCAUAAACAUGUUUAUUUAAUGAAGCAAACCAUCCACCAUUGUCCCUUUAUUUUAAUAUAGCAUCAAGAAUAUAAGUGCAAUGGUAAAAGGGCAACCUGGCAACACACCAGUGACCUCAAUGAUUUUCACAUUGUGUCGAUGUAUAUUGCAUUUGUAUGUAGAUGUUUCUCCAGAAGCUGAAUGGUUUUCAUCCUAUUUUUGAGUAUUUGCCUAGUCAAAUAGACUUUGCUGUAACCUUGGCAAACUCACAAGAGCUGGAGCUGUAGAAACUUCAUCACAUUCUGUGCCUAGAUCCCAGCUGUUCUUAUAAGGGGCCAUCAGCCGGCUUCACAAUCAUCUCUCUCUUUGGACCAUCGUCUUUAUACAUUGGAUGCAGAGCACGUCCAUGUAAUGUGGAAAAAAAAUAAAUAUGUAAUAAAAUGUUGUAGUCGC